AUGUUGACCUCGGAUCAGGUAGGGAUACCCGCUGAACUUAAGCAUAUCAAUAAGCGGAGGAAAAG
rnacentral:rRNA from 1 species